rnacentral:rRNA from 1 species
CGUAGGGGGCAAGCGUUAUCCGGAAUUAUUGGGCGUAAAGAGUGCGUAGGUGGUCUCAUAAGCGCGAGGUCGAAAGGCAAUGGCUCAACUAUUGUAAGCCUUGCGAACUGUGAGACUUGAGUGCAGGAGAGGAAAGUGGAAUUCCUAGUGUAGCGGUGAAAUGCGUAGAUAUUAGGAGGAACACCAGUGGCGAAGGCGACUUUCUGGACUGUAACUGACACUGAGGCACGAAAGCGUGGGGAGCAAACAGGAUUAGAUACCCUGGUAGUCCACGCCGUAAACGAUGAGCACUAGGUGUCGGGGCCGCAAGGUUUCGGUGCCGCAGUUAACGCAUUAAGUGCUCCGCCUGGGGAGUACGCACGCAAGUGUG